UACGGAGGGUGCGAGCGUUGUCCGGAAUUACUGGGCGUAACGAGCUCGUAGGUGGUUUGUCGCGUUGUUCGUGAAAACCGGGGGCUUAACCCUCGGCGUGCGGGCGAUACGGGCAGACUGGAGUACUGCAGGGGAGACUGGAAUUCCUGGUGUAGCGGUGGAAUGCGCAGAUAUCAGGAGGAACACCGGUGGCGAAGGCGGGUCUCUGGGCAGUAACUGACGCUGAGGAGCGAAAGCGUGGGGAGCGAACAGG
rnacentral:rRNA from 1 species